rnacentral:misc_RNA from 1 species
ACCGCCCCGGAUCCGCCCAGC